UACCUUGUCGGCCAAAUCUCGUUUUCUCUGUUUCUCUAUUGACAACUGCCUCUUCUUGUUCACGAAUACCUCUUUUCUCAAGAGAAACUGAUAUCCACUAUAUUUUUUCUUUGUUCAAUCGAUUCAAGAAAGUUAAUACCAAUGUUUUCCCCACACCAACGAUUAUCGAUCCAUCCUUAUUUCUCAGCAAACGAUUUCGUCUAAGUCGUCAGUCAGGUUUCACCAUGACAAAAACAUGGGUAUGAUUUUUUGGAACGACCUGCUUUGAUUUUAUCACUUCAAUUGUUUUUUGAUUUACAGGUUUUGUUCACACCAUCCUCAAAUCAGUGACAACCGCAAAGAAGGCGUUGUUGUUGUUGGGCACACUGGGAGGUUUUUUUAACACAAAUCAGGACAUGUGCCUUUUUCUACCCGAUACACCACCGCUUGUCCUCCAUUCGCGUCGCUCUUUCUCUCCUAAAAAAAUUGAAGAAAUAACCAUCGUUCUCAGUGAAGACGAGUUCAUGCACAAAGUUUUAGACCUUUGGGUCAGGGUUUCAAGAAUCUCAGGAGUCAGAUUGGAGAAUGAAACCUAAGAAUUUUGUAGUAGAGGUCACUUCCCCGACUAUCUCUCUUUUCUUUCGAUUUGGGGCACUAAAUUCUUAAAACACCUUUACGCAACUGUUCGCCUUAAUGCUCUUCUUCCUUCAAAUCAAAUUAUUUUUGACCAGAUAAGAUAUUGAGAGAAGAUCCUACAUACACUGAAGCAAUAAUAAGAAGAGAAACAGCCUUCACAUUUAAAAGAAAACGGGAUUAAGCUAUUGCUGAUUUUACAAAGAUUUGACUAGGUCCUUCAAAUUUGAGCUUGAAUCAGUUGAUAUAUUGCAUAAAAAGGGUAUGUAAUUGUUUGAACGCAUACAAGGUGUUUGCUAAAACGCUUGAGAGAAUGGAAGAGCCCGAUCAAGCUGCUUAUACUGUUUUGACACAUGAUUGUAAAGGAGGGAACUUAAGUAAAUCUCUUGAAGAGUGGAUUCUCAUAGUUAAUGUUGCAACAUAAGGGUGGACCUUGCUAAUUCAAUUCAAAGAGUAACAAAAGAUUUUGCGUAUUUAGCAACAAAAA